rnacentral:rRNA from 1 species
GAUGAACGCUAGCUACAGGCUUAACACAUGCAAGUCGCGGGGCAGCAUGGGGGUUGCUUGCAACUCCCGAUGGCGACCGGCGCACGGGUGAGUAACGCGUAUCCAACCUGCCCUUCACCACGGGAUAACCCGGCGAAAGUCGGACUAAUACCGUAUGUUGUCCAUUGACGGCAUCCGAUUUGGACGAAAGGCUUUGCGGUGAAGGAUGGGGAUGCGUCCGAUUAGCCAGACGGCGGGGUAACGGCCCACCGUGGCUACGAUCGGUAGGGGUUCUGAGAGGAAGGUCCCCCACACUGGAACUGAGACACGGUCCAGACUCCUACGGGAGGCAGCAGUGAGGAAUAUUGGUCAAUGGGCGUAAGCCUGAACCAGCCAAGUAGCGUGCAGGAUGACGGCCCUAUGGGUUGUAAACUGCUUUUAUGCGGGGAUAAAGUGGCCCACGUGUGGGCUUUUGCAGGUACCGCAUGAAUAAGGACCGGCUAAUUCCGUG